rnacentral:rRNA from 1 species
ACGCUAGCGGCAGGCCUAAUACAUGCAAGUCGAACGAUCGUUUUUGGUUUACUAAAAACGGAGUGGCGCACGGGUGCGUAACACGUAUGCAACCUACCUUUAUCUGGGGAAUAGCCUUUCGAAAGGAAGAUUAAUACCGCAUAACAUUAUUGAAUGGCAUCAUUUAAUAAUCAAAGUUCAGGCGGAUAAAGAUGGGCAUGCGGAACAUUAGCUAGUUGGUGAGGUAACUGCUCACCAAGGCUACGAUGUUUAGGGGGUCUGAGAGGAUGAUCCCCCACACUGGUACUGAGACACGGACCAGACUCCUACGGGAGGCAGCAGUAGGGAAUAUUGGGCAAUGGAGGAAACUCUGACCCAGCCAUGCCGCGUGAAGGACGAAGGCCCUAUGGGUCGUAAACUUCUUUUAUAAGGGAAGAAAAAGCGUUACGUGUAACGCUCUGACAUUACCUUACGAAUAAGGAUCGGCUAACUCCGUGCCAGCAGCCGCGGUAAUACGGAGGAUCCAAGCGUUGUCCGGAUUUAUUGGGUUUAAAGGGUGCGCAGGCGGACUUUUAAGUCAGUGGUGAAAGCCGACAGCUCAACUGUCGAACUGCCAUUGAAACUGAAAGUCUUGAAUGCGGUCGAGGUAAAUGGAAUGUGUCAUGUAGCGGUGAAAUGCUUAGAUAUGAUACAGAACACCUAUUGCGAAGGCAGUUUACUAGACCGAUAUUGACGCUCAGGCACGAAAGCGUGGGGAGCGAACAGGAUUAGAUACCCUGGUAGUCCACGCCCUAAACGUUGAUCACUC